rnacentral:misc_RNA from 1 species
UCUCCGUUAUCCGGAGCAGUCCUCGUAGAGUUCUCCCUUGCGGGUAGCAACUACGAGUGAGGGUUGCGCUCGUUGCGGGACUUAACCCAACACCUCACGGCACGAGCUGACGACAGCCAUGCAGCACCUCUACUACGGUCCCUUGCGGGGUACCGGUGUUUCCACCGGCGUUGACCAGCCGUUCGAGCCCAGGUAAGGUUCUUCGCGUUGCGUCGAAUUGAACCACAUGCUCCACCGCUUGUGCGGGCCCCCGUCAAUUCCUUUGGGUUUCAGCCUUGCGACUGUACUCCCCAGGCGGCAUAUUUAACGCGUUAGCUCCGGCACGGAUCAACUGAAUGACCCACACCAAAUAUGCAUCGUUUAGGGCGUGGACUAC